AAGAUCAUACUUCACAGGAUCAUUUCUGUAGUAUAUCUUCGCAUACUCUCUACUCAAACGUAGAGUUGUCGCAACCACGAUGACGAGCAGUGGCUUCGUAUUCUGAGCGUGAGGCAGGCAUUUUUGGAAUCCAAUGGUUCCGAAAUAUUGCCAUCGAUGAUCGUUCACCUUGGAAAUUUAUCUUCCUUGGCAAUGGAUGCGAAGCGAUCUGAGUGGU